rnacentral:tRNA from 1 species
CCCGCGGUAACUCAGCUUGGUUAGAGUGGCCGGCUGUAGACCCAAGCCGAAACCGGCAUGUCGGGAGUUCAAAUCUCCCCCGCGGGA